AAGGGUAUAGCUCAGUGGUAGAGUGUGUGCUUAGCAUGCACGAGGUCCUGGGUCCAAUCUCCAGUACCUCCA
rnacentral:tRNA from 1 species